rnacentral:rRNA from 1 species
ACGAACGCUGGCGGCGUGCUUCACCCAUGCAAGUCGAACGGAAAGGCCCUGCUUUUGUGGGGUGCUCGAGUGGCGAACGGGUGAGUAACACGUGAGUAACCUGCCCUUGACUUUGGGAUAACUUCAGGAAACUGGGGCUAAUACCGGAUAGGAGCUCCUGCUGCAUGGUGGGGGUUGGAAAGUUUCGGCGAUUGGGGAUGGACUCGCGGCUUAUCAGCUUGUUGGUGGGGUAGUGGCUUACCAAGGCUUUGACGGGUAGCCGGCCUGAGAGGGUGACCGGCCACAUUGGGACUGAGAUACGGCCCAGACUCCUACGGGAGGCAGCAGUGGGGAAUAUUGCACAAUGGGCGGAAGCCUGAUGCAGCAACGCCGCGUGCGGGAUGACGGCCUUCGGGUUGUAAACCGCUUUCGCCUGUGACGAAGCGUGAGUGACGGUAAUGGGUAAAGAAGCACCGGCUAACUACGUG